CAUUCCUUUGUGACAACGCGGCCGCGGCAGUUCUCCCCCGCCGACCCAGCGGGGCGAGAACCGCAGCGGUCGCGACCGUCAUUCUUUCCGAGGCACAAGGCAACCCGAUGGGGCAAAUAAGGGAGACAAGCCCCCGCCCGCAUAACUUUCCGCAUCCUAGACCACGAGCAACCUACACAUGCGCCGGCGCAACCAAGUCAUGGCGUGCGCGGAACACGUGCGUUGCUACGGGGAUGGCCCCGUGCCACGGUAGGCAAGGGGCAAAGGGGCACAAUCAUCGCAUUCAAUUUCCACCGUAGUGGGUAAGCAGCACAGGAACCUAGCGUGACAUCGAAAAAAUUUUCGUGUCUUCGUAUCUGAAGGGAUCGUGGCAAAACAGUUCGGUGCGCGAAGCAUGGAGCCUGCCUUCCCAAACGAUCCUAACACCACUCACGCGC
rnacentral:misc_RNA from 1 species